UGGCGGCGUGCCUAACAAUGCAAGUCGAGCGGUCACCACUUUGUAGCAAUACAGAUGAAGUGAUAGCGGCAGACGGGUGAGUAACACGUAGGCAAUCUGCCUUUCCGACCGGGAUAACUAGCCGAAAGGUUAGCUAAUACCUGAUACGAUCAUCGAGCGGCAUCGUUUGAUGAUGAAAGCAGCAAUGCGCGGAUUGAGGAGCCUGCGGCCCAUUAGCUAGUUGGUGAGGGUAACGGCCCACCAAGGCGACGAUGGGUAGCUGGUCUGAGAGGACGACCAGCCACACUGGGACUGAGACACGGCCCAGACUCCUACGGGAGGCAGCAGUGAGGAAUUUUCCGCAAUGGGCGAAAGCCUGACGGAGCGACGCCGCGUGCACGAGGAAGGUCUUCGGAUCGUAAAGUGCUGUCGAGGGGGACGAUUAUGACGGUACCCCUGGAGGAAGCCCCGGCUAACUACGUGCCAGCAGCCGCGGUAAGACGUAGGGGGCGAGCGUUGUUCGGAAUUACUGGGCGUAUAGCGUGCGUAGGCGGAUUCGUAAGUCGAGGUUGAAAUAU
rnacentral:rRNA from 1 species